CUCAUACGAUAUAAAAGAACAACAAUUAUCGUUUCUUCUUGAAAAGGGGUUCAACGUUUCCGAAAUCAGCAAAAUAAUCGGGGUCAGUAAACGGACAAUUGAGAGAAGAAUGGCGUUUUUUGGACUCUCUGUAUCAGGUACCUCAUGCUAUUUACGAUCAGAGGCUAGAGUAUAGAAUCAGGGCCGUUCGGGGGGGAGGGGCAAAGGGAGCAAUUUGCCCCAGGCUCGAGGAAGGGGGGCAAAAUGAAGAAGGGAGAAAGAAAUUAAAGAUGUAAUAAAAUAAAUAUAUAGCUAUAGAUACUUAGAUAGAUUGCUAUAAUUAACUGUGAUAAUAAUCCCAAUGGGAGAAGGGCCCCAGUUGAUCCUUGCCCCGGCCCCCCAAAUUUCUCUGAACAGACCUGUAUAGAAUACCUGACCACUUUUGGAGAGUGAUUAUAGAAUACAAGGGCACUUACAAGUUACAACAAAUUUACAGCUAGUGUGUAGGUGUGGGGAGGUUAGAAAGGAAAUUUAUAGAGUGUAGUCUUUUUGUAUCAGUACUUCAAAGUAAUGUAAAAUACACAAUAAAAACUUUACUAAGCUUUCCUAUCCCAGACUUAAUAUCAACUUAGCCUGGCUUGCCUAUUUAGGCAAGGGUUAUAGUUAUGUAUAGGAUUAGGGUAAAUGUUAGGUUAGGGUUAUGAUUAUGGUAAAGGUUGUGUUAAGGUAAUGGUUACUGUAGGUUUAGGGUAAGGAUUAAGGUUGGAGAAGGAUUAGG